rnacentral:misc_RNA from 1 species
GAACGCACCUUGCACCCUCUGGUAUUCCGGAGGGUAUGCCCGGUUGAGUGUCAUGAAUAUCUCAACUCCAAUGUUUUGUUAAAGGUCUUGUCGACUCGUCCUGCCGGCCUAGCGAGGCUGCUGUGACUGUUGCGAGGCUGAAGCGUUGGAGCUUGGACCUGAGCUCUGUUGGCCUUCCCAGGUCGACUGGCUAGAAAUGCAUCAGCGAUGACGUCCCUUGGGUCCAUCUCGGCGUGAUAAGUUGAUCGUCGCAAAGGUCUCUCGGGUUGGCUCGCUCCUAAUCGUCUUCGGACAGCCUCUGACGUUUACACCUCAACUCGGGUAGGACUACCCGCUGAACUUAAG